GCGUGAGAAAUUGCUCUUGGAUUCGGUUAACUGUCUAGCUCUGUUCCCCAGGAAACCAUGAAUGUCAGAAACCACAGAAUGUCAGCUGUGUUACUAGGCAACAUGGCUUAUGGUAAAAAUGACCCAUUGGUAAAUUGUUUGGGUCUGAGAGGGACUAAAAAUACCUGGAGAGUGGCUGUAACUUUGGACUUCUCCUAGUGUGGUGACUCCUGUAAUCGAGCCUGUACCCGGUGGGGAUCCUAGAAACCUUGCUCAUGGGUGGUCAUACAAGGAAGUGAGAAAAGGAUACUUGGUGCAGCGGUAACCACCGCCAGUAAAAGAAAGGUCAAGACCAUCAGCUGGGUCACCUGUGGUCGGAUAUUCUGCAAAAUGCUGCCAAAAGAACCAAAGUGAAACACCAGGAUAAACAAAAAGCUAGUCAGGAAAGUCAUAGCUCUGGGGUGCCUGGCUGGCUCAGUUGGUAGAGUAGGUGACUCCCGAUCUCAGGAUCGGGCGUUCAAGUCCUAUGUUGGGUAUAGAGACUGCUUAAGAAAAAUCAAAAUUAAAAAGAAAAGAAAAAAAGAGAAAGUCAUGGUUCAAAUGUGGAAAAAAAGGACAGGAUUUCGAGCAACUAAUGGAUUACAGGAAGAGAAUCCAUUUGUCUUUGACACUAGAAGCAUCAUCCUUCUGUUGGCCUGGGUCAUGAUACUGGCAUAGAGAGAAGGAAAUGUCACCAUAAUUACUUCAUCACUCUGCAAUGAAUAUCUGCAUAAUAAUUAAGACAUCAGACCAAUAUAAAAACCAAGCACCAAAGCCUUCAUUAAGGUUACAGAACAGAACAUAAAUGUUCUCCACCUUGUCAGUGUAAAAGGCACAGCUGACAGAGGUUGGAAGCUGGAGUGAGAGAGAGCAAAAACAGAAAGGACAAGCAGUGGGAAAGAGUAGGAUUUUAAUUUUGAAUCCCUGAAGACUAGAAAUCUCUAAGCAUAUUCCACUUGACCCAUUUUUUAACAGUUUUUAUUGAAAUAUAAUUCACAUACCAUAAAAUAUACCAGUUUACUUUUAGUCUUUUUAUUACUGAGUUAUUACAGUUCUUUAGAGAACUUCGAUAAAAGUCCCUUAUUAGAUAGAAAUUGCAAAUACUUUCUCCCAUUUUGUGGGUUGUCUUUUCACUUUCUUGAUGGUGUCCUUUGAGGCACAAAAGUUUUUAAUUGUGAUAAAGUCCAAUUUAUCUAUUUUAUUCUUUGUUGCUUGUGUGGUCAGUGUCCUACCUAAGAAGGCUUUGCCUAGCCAAGGUCAGUAAGAUUUAUUCAUAUUUUCUUCUACGAGUUUUAUCAUUUCUGCUGUUACAUUUAGGCCUAUGAUGCAUUUUUAGUUAAUCUGGGUGUAUGAUGUGAGGAGGAAGUUCAAAUUCGUUCUUUUGCAUGUAAAUCUCCAGGUUUCUCAGCACAAUUUGCUGAAAAGACUAUUCUUCCCCUAUUGAAUUUUCUUGGCACAUUUGUUUAAAAAAAAAAAAAAAAACCAUUGAUCAUAGAGUUUUAUUUCUGGAUUCUCAAUACUAUUCGGUUGAUUUAUACGUACUGACACUUUAAGGUGAAAUCCAGGUAAUGUAAGUAAGCAUUUUAAAGCGUAUGGCUCGGGGCGCCUGGGUGGCUCAGUCGGUUAAGCGUCCGACUUCGGCUCAGGUCAUGAUCUGGCGGUUUGUGAGUUCGAGGCCCGUGUCGGGCUCUCUGCUGACAGCUCAGAGCCUGGAGCCUGUUUCCGAUUCUGUGUCUCCCUCUCUCUCUGACCCUCCCCCGUUCAUGCUGUCUCUGUCUCAAAAAUAAACAUUAAAAAAUAAAUAAAGCGUAUGGCUCAAUACCACACAGUACAUUCACAAUGUUUUACAACCAACACCCCUAUUUCCAAAACCUUUUCAUCAUCCCACAUCCAUCAGAUAGUCCAUCCUCAUUCCCCAUGACCUUGGCAACCACUCAUCUAAUUCACAUCCGUAUGGACAUAACGGUCCUGGAUAUUUCAUAUCCAUGAAAUCACAUGUGAUCUUCUGUGUCCAGCUUCUUUCACUCAGCAGGUUUUUGCGGUUCAUGCACUCUGUAGCGUUUAUCAGUAGUUCACGGUUAUGGCUGAAUAAUAUUCCAUUGUGUGGAUAAGCCACACUUUGGUUAUCCACUCAUUAGCUGAUGUACAACUGGGUUGUUUCUACGUUUUAACUAAUGUAAAUGGCUAUGUAAGUACAGAACUACGAUAAAUAUUCAUGUUCAAGUAUUCGUUUGAGUACCUGUUUUCAAUUCUUUUGGGUACAUAUGUAGGAGUAGACUAUCUGGCGCCCCUCAUAAUUCUAGAUUUAACUGUUUGAAAAACCACCAAACUGUUUUCCACAGCAGCUGUGCCAUUCUGCUACCAGCAACGUACAAGGGUUCCAAUGUCUCCCUAUCUUCACCAACAUAUGUGAUUUUCUGUUUUCUGAUUCAUUUGCAUGUGACAUCCGUCACUCAACACAAUACUCCAGGUGUUGUCUGGACGGUACAGAAUAACGUAAGACUAACACCUUUCCUCUUCUGAACCUCCUCCUGUUAAGUCCCGACUAGGAAUCUAUGCAGGCUUUCUCGUAGUCCCAUUACAUUUUAUAUCCAGAUGGAGUUUAUUACAGUAAUUAAAAUACCUAAGUUGUUUGUAUUCAACCACAUCUCCCUCACUCCUAUAGUUAUGCAGAUGUUUUCUCAACUCAUAUACAGGACUUCAUAUCAAACUCCUUUAAGUUAUCAUGGUAGCCUUGGCCCACCAUUUCAGUCAGAAAUAUUUUUUAAAGUUACCCCUAAAAAAUACAUUUCAUCCAAAAAUGUGAUAAGCGUCGUAUCAAUGUUUUUAUUCACAUUACAAAAAUAUGGACAGCAGCCUUCAGCAAUAGGAAUUUUUCUCCAGUUGUCACGAAUUCCCUAUUACUAAUUUUUAUUUAUUUUUUUUAUCUUUAUUUAUUUUUGAGAGCGAGAGAGCGAGAGUGCGAGCGGGGGAGGAACAGAGACAGAGGGAGACACAGAAUCCGAAGCAGGCUCCAGGUUCCAAGCUGGCAGCACAGAGCCCGACGCGGCGUUCGAACCCACGAACCGCGAGAUCAUGACCUGAGCUGAAGUCGGACACUCAACCUACUAAGCCACCCAGGU